rnacentral:rRNA from 1 species
AGAGUUAAACAGUACGUGAAAUUGUUGAAAGGGAAACGAUUGAAGUCAGUCAUACCAGCGGGAAAUCAACCUUUCGAGUGGGUUUUUGGAGUUUUGAAGUGUGUCAAAACCUUUGAGAUUUCAAAAUUCUUGCUCCUUUGGUGUACUUUCUCGUAGGUAGGUUAACAUCGAUUUUGGUCAUCAUAAAAAGAUUGGAGGAAUGUAGCUUCGAUCUCGUAUUGAAGUGUUAUAGCCUUUGGUAAAUGUGAUGAUUAAGAUCGAGGAUUGCAACGAAUACCCUUCCGGGCUAUCCGCCUGAUCUCUGAUACGUAGCCUCGGUAUCGAAAGCGUGCUUAUGGUAUUGAGGUAUUACGGUCAAAAGGUUAGAACGGAUUACAUUCGUUAAGGAUGUUGACGUAAUGGCUUUAAACGACC